UGGGCGGGAGUGGACUGAAUGCACUGUUGAUUGGCGUAAGGUUUCCUUGCCUCUGAUGCGAUAGAUCACAAAGCUUUGUAACCUGGCUUUGUGGCCAAAGCCUGCUUUAAUGAUUUCAUUGAUUUGAAACAGUGUCUUCAACUACUGGUUCUUCUGCUUUGAGUAGUAUCAAGAUA
rnacentral:lncRNA from 1 species